rnacentral:lncRNA from 1 species
GUCUAUAAAUUUGUAGCCACAGUAGAGUGAUUGAUGGAAAAGAGUUUUCAUAGACAUCACAUCUGCACUUGAGCUAAUCAAAUCUAUCAUAUGACUGAUGUUGAGGUUUGACAAUUUAUCUAUGACCUGCCAUCUAGUCAGAACUCACAAUAGAGGGACUGAAUCACAUGUUAACUACAUCUAGAGGUUCAUUUCAGUUCUACUGGGUUGCCACUACAUACGGCU